rnacentral:tRNA from 1 species
GGUUAAAUGGCUGAAAUUUAGGUGAUAGACUGUAAAUUUAUUUAUGAGAAAUUAUAUUCUCUUUAACCA